rnacentral:miRNA from 1 species
UAGUUCUACCGUCUUUCGACC